AGAGCUUAGCUGAUUGGUGAACAGUGAUUGCUUUCCUCUUUGUUCACAGUGGCUAAGUUCUGC
rnacentral:pre_miRNA from 1 species